ACGGGUGAGUAACACGUGGGAACGUACCUUUCGGUUCGGAAUAAUUCAGGGAAACUUGGACUAAUACCGGAUACGCCCUUCGGGGGAAAGAUUUAUCGCCGAAAGAUCGGCCCGCGUCUGAUUAGCUAGUUGGUGAGGUAAAGGCUCACCAAGGCGACGAUCAGUAGCUGGUCUGAGAGGAUGAUCAGCCACAUUGGGACUGAGACACGGCCCAAACUCCUACGGGAGGCAGCAGUGGGGAAUAUUGGACAAUGGGCGCAAGCCUGAUCCAGCCAUGCCGCGUGAGUGAUGAAGGCCUUAGGGUUGUAAAGCUCUUUUGUCCGGGAAGAUAAUGACUGUACCGGAAGAAUAAGCCCCGGCUAACUUCGUGCCAGCAGCCGCGGUAAUACGAAGGGGGCUAGCGUUGCUCGGAAUCACUGGGCGUAAAGGGCGCGUAGGCGGACUUUUAAGUCGGAGGUGAAAGCCCAGGGCUCAACCCUGGAAUUGCCUUCGAUACUGGGAGUCUUGAGUUCGGAAGAGGUUGGUGGAACUGCGAGUGUAGAGGUGAAAUUCGUAGA
rnacentral:rRNA from 4 species